rnacentral:rRNA from 1 species
UACGAAGGGGGCUAGCGUUGCUCGGAAUCACUGGGCGUAAAGCGCACGUAGGCGGAUCUUUAAGUCAGGGGUGAAAUCCUGGAGCUCAACUCCAGAACUGCCUUUGAUACUGGGGAUCUCGAGUCCGGAAGAGGUGAGUGGAACUCCGAGUGUAGAGGUGAAAUUCGUAGAUAUUCGCAAGAACACCAGUGGCGAAGGCGGCUCACUGGCCCGGAACUGACGCUGAGGUGCGAAAGCGUGGGGAGCAAACAGG